rnacentral:rRNA from 1 species
AACGAACGCUGGCGGCAGGCUUAACACAUGCAAGUCGAACGGUCGUAGCAAUACGUCAGUGGCAGACGGGUGAGUAACACGUGGGAACGUCCCCCUCGGUUCGGAAUAACUCAGGGAAACUUGAGCUAAUACCGGAUACGUCCGAGAGGAGAAAGAUUUAUCGCCGAGGGAUCGGCCCGCGUCUGAUUAGCUAGUUGGUGAGGUAAUGGCUCACCAAGGCGACGAUCAGUAGCUGGUCUGGGAGGAUGAUCAGCCACACUGGGACUGAGACACGGCCCAGACUCCUACGGGAGGCAGCAGUGGGGAAUAUUGGACAAUGGGCGAAAGCCUGAUCCAGCAAUGCCGCGUGAGUGAUGAAGGCCUUAGGGUUGUAAAGCUCUUUUACCCGGGAAGAUAAUGACUGUACCGGGAGAAUAAGCCCCGGCUAACUCCGUGCCAGCAGCCGCGGUAACAC